rnacentral:tRNA from 1 species
ACCCCUGUAGCUCAGUGGACAGAGCAGCGGCCUCCGACGCCGCGGGUCGCCGGUUCGAGUCCGGCUGGGGGUA